UACAGAGGUCCCGAGCGUUGUUCGGAUUCACUGGGCGUAAAGGGUGUGUAGGUGGCGCGCUAAGUCGGGUGUGAAAUUUCGGAGCUUAACUCCGAAACUGCAUUCGAUACUGGCGUGCUUGAGGACUGGAGAGGAGACUGGAAUUUACGGUGUAGCAGUGAAAUGCGUAGAUAUCGUAAGGAAGACCAGUGGCGAAGGCGGGUCUCUGGACAGUUCCUGACACUGAGACACGAAGGCCAGGGGAGCAAACGGG
rnacentral:rRNA from 1 species